rnacentral:rRNA from 1 species
GAUGAACGCUGGCGGCGUGCUUAACACAUGCAAGUCGAGCGAAAGGACGAGGAGCUUGCGGCUUUGAUGUGUGCGGCGCGCGUGAGUGACACACGUGGAAAACCCCCUUAUAAGACGGGUAACAUUUGGGGAAACGGGAGCAAACACGGGAGAAUAUUUUGCACCGCAUGGGUCAUUGGUGAGAGACGGUGUUUGGGGCAGUAAUAGAGGGAUCCGCGCUGCAUGAGCUGGUUGUGAAGGUAACGGCUUAUCAAGGCUACGAGGCGUAGCCGACUUGAGAGGGUGAUCGGCGACACUGGAACUGAGACACGGUCCAGACUCCUACGGGAGGCAGCAGUAGGGAAUCGUCCGCAAUGGGCGAAAGCCUGACGGAGCAACGCCGAGUGAGUGAUGAAGGUCUCCGGAUCGUAAAACUCUGUUAUUAGGGAAGAACAUAUGUGUAAGUAACUGUGCACAUCUUGACGGUACCUAAUCAGAAAGCCACGGCUAACUACGUG